CCAUCUCUGCUUAGUGUCAGUGAGUUCAUGGGGAAUUUCUGCUUGAAGAAGAUUUUGCAGACUGUGAGAAUGUUUUCUCCUUUGCUCUCUCCCCAGUAUCGUGCUUAGACAGCUUAGCGUGCGCCCUUCAGAGGAAGUAGCCAAGUCUCCAAGAGGAGAGCAUUUUAGAAAGAAGCUUAUAUAGAGCUGUCUGCAUCUUGGAAAUGGGAAAACUGAGGCACUUUUUCUGGAAAGGAUGGCAAUUUUUAGAUGCCUCCAUUUGGUUUCAGGCAUACAACCUCAGAAAAGACGCUGGACCACAGAGGUGUCAGACAUGCUGCAUACCUGACAGACCAGAUGCCAGAGGUCUGGCAAAACUAAUGGUAUUAAUCCCCAGCCUAAGCAUUGCAUUAACCCUUCCCUUGAGUUUAGAAUCAAGCUGAUUUUCAAAAUCUGGCUCUGGUAAGAAAAUGAAAAUAAUCCUAUCCGAUUCUUGGUGUUGAAACAAUGUAAUCAAGCUUGCCAAUUUAUACUGCAGUGGAA
rnacentral:lncRNA from 1 species